UACAGAGGGGGCAAGCGUUGUUCGGAAUUACUGGGCGUAAAGGGCGCGUAGGCGGCCUUCUAAGUCAUGCGUGAAAUCCCCGGGCUCAACCCGGGAACUGCGCCUGAUACUGGAGGGCUCGAAUCCGGGAGAGGGAUGUGGAAUUCCAGGUGUAGCGGUGAAAUGCGUAGAUAUCUGGAGGAACACCGGUGGCGAAGGCGGCAUCCUGGACCGGCAUUGACGCUGAGGCGCGAAAGCCAGGGGAGCAAACGGG
rnacentral:rRNA from 1 species